rnacentral:lncRNA from 1 species
CUCAUUGCCUCCCCGUCCCUGUCUCCCCUGACACUCGUUCCUCCAGAAGCCCGGUAAACCCCGUCCUUACGAGCCCCGCCCCUAGCUCUUCUACUACGGAGGGGAACUGCAGAGCCAGAAGAGCACGGAGCAGCAACUCGCAGCCCAAUUGGUGACGCUGCAGAAUGAACUGGAGCUGGCGGAGACCAAAUGCGCCUUGCAGGAGGAGAAGCUGCAGCAGGACGCGCUGCAGACAGCGGAGGCCUGGGCCAUAUUCCAGGAGCAGACCGUAGUCCUGCAGGAGGUGCAGGUGAAGGUGAUGGAGGCUGCGGAGGAGCUGGACGCCUGGCAGAGUGGCCGGGAACUGUGUGACGGGCAGCUUCGCAGAGUGCAGUACAGCACCGAGUCGCUCAUGGAGGAGAUGGCCAGGGCGGACCGAGAGACGCGGCUGUUCGGCGGUCCUCGCGCGCUGGCCAUCAGGCGCUGCUGACGCUGCCGCUCCUCUUCCUGGGGCUGUCGCUGCUCUGGACGGUGCUGUUGGACCCCGGCGCCGUCUCCGCGUGGCUCUGGAGCCUCACCUCGGAGACGACGCUGCGCCGCCUGCGCUACACGCUGUCCCCGCUGCUGGAGCUGCGCGCUAACGGGCUGCUGCCAACCUAAGUGCAGCGCCCCGCGCCUGGCUCCAGGUGGACUCCAGGGCACCGGCUUUAUUUCUGGUGCACUCCUCUCCUGAGAGUGUAGACCAAGGUCGCCUAAUAAACUCCUCAAGGGAUGAA